AUGGGCUGCUGUGCAAAUGCAUGUGGUCAGGUCCUCAGGUGGCUGUCAGCUCAGCACGGGGACAGAUGUGUUCCAUUCCUCUGUGCUCAGGUGGGUGAGGGUGGUGGGAAAAACCCCGAGAGAGGGGUCCCUGGCUCUGAGGGCUACGGGUGGGGUGUCCAUCCUGUGGGCCCUUCUCGGGAGCUGGGAGGGAGGAGGGCUCCGCCCCUGAGGAGACUCCCUGAGGGCUGGCGAGCUGGGCCGCCCUCCCCUGCAGCCCUGCACCUAAGCUGCUGCCCACCCGGCCACUCUUCCUCGCCCCAUCUGCCUCUUCGGCCAAACCCGUUUCCUUUCCUGUCUCCGCGGAGGAGAGGGCGAUGAAAAGUGUCAGCGCCGAAGGCUGAGGACCAGCCCUGACCAACUCCCGACUCCUGGUCCCUCAGCCUGAGCCAGAGAACCGUCUCCUCCAGGGGCGGUGCCCACAUCCUGGCCCGAUGCCCAGCACCCCGCCCUUGGCCGCCUUCUCCCGCCCUGGCCGGCUCCCCGCGGUGACCGGGACCUGGAUUGUGCUCAGUGACUGCUGUCCUCAGACUUCAAACUCUUGAAGGCUGAAGCUGCGCCCUGCCUUCCACCCCUGAAUUUGGACGGCCGCCCCAGCUGGGCUGAACAGCCACCGCGGGGGAAUAUUUGGCGGAAUCUCCCAUGAAGCGCAAGGACCAGAGAGUUCGAUCCCGGUAUCAAGAGGCAAAAAAAAGGCAAAGCGAGCCACGCUGGUUAACGGUGACAAGGGGCAGGGUGGGGGAGAGGGAAGAGACCCGCCCGCCUUUCGGAGUCUUCAGGUGAGGAGAGGCCGGGUGCUCCCUGGGCAGAGGUGCAGUGCUCUGAGAGGCAGCUGCGGGCCAGGCCCUCGGCCUAUGAAGCGACCAGGAUCCCAGCCCCCGGGCCAGGGCCAGGACACGCCGGGUGGCCUUGUAGUGAGAGCGGCCCUCCGCCACCGGAGAGCUGGAGACCUCCCCUGGACUUUCGGCAUGGAAGGGGCCCCCAGCAGCAGAGAGAGUGAGACCGCGGUGAACAAGGAGGCCCUGAGCGUGGUGGGCAGAGCCGUGGGCGUCCUGGGGUGGGGGAGGGGAGGACUCACGACCACGGCAGGGUGGGAUUAGAAUCUAGGCCCUGUAAAGACACAUCGGGCAAUUCUGCUAGAUCCAGAGAGGCGACUGCUGCAAAGAGCGAAGAGAAGGAAAAAGCGGGUGGAGGGCGCAGAGGGAGGGAGGAAGGAAACAUCAUCGUGCACGCAAAUGGUUGCAAACAGAAGGUCACCUCUGGGUUAAGGGAAGGGGUGGAACACUGCAGGAGUCCUGAGGUCAGGAAAGCAUUUAACCUCUAGGGCAAGGAGGACAGAAGCAACAGGGUGAACCCCAAGACACUCAAGCCACUCCGGGUGCGAUGGGAACUCGGGUGUUUUUCAGAGUCUAAAGGUAAUGCAUGCAUUCUCCAAAGAAUUAACAGUACAACAGUACCACUGGCCACAAGCGAUGACACACGUUUUGUAAUCCCAGCACAUUGGGAGGCUGAGGC
ensembl:lincRNA